UAAUUCUUUUGCCGAGCGACAUUUAAAAAUUGAUUCAGGAAAGAAAACAAAUUAGAACAAAGAUUGAAGAUAAAGGGGUUACUACAUAGGACGGCGAUAUGUUUCCAAACUACAAACUCUAUUAAGUAAGGAAUAAUUGACGACGGGCCGUUGGUGGUAAUGCGGUCACGAAGCGGAGUGGCCGUUACACCUCGGGUGUGCAUUAUUUUUCUAAUAAUUCAACGGCCCGGAGUCAAUUAUUCCGCUUAUACUACAGUUACCACACCUCGAAACAUUGUUCAGAUGAUGUGAUUCUAGACGUUUGUCAAGUUUUUGUCAUUAAAACGCUCUUGUAUGUAGGACUAAUUUCUUACGCAUCUAAUCCCAUGCCUCCGUUGCUAAUUCCAAAACGUCAUUUUAGAGUUAGUAACGGAGGUUUGAGCCACUGACAGCAGACUAAUGCAGUUAUUAGGUGUAGUUAUUAGAGAGACAGAGGUUGCAAUAAUGAGACAGAAAAUCAUGUGCGUCAUAUUAUUUAAUUUAUUUAUUAAUUCAUACGUUAUAAUUCAUUCGUUAAUUCGAACGAAUUUAUUUAUUAAAAUUAAACUGCACGUUAAACACACUGACAGCCCAAGCUGUUGUUUUUUUGGUGUUUUCUUCAUGUUUUUCACCCUUGAGUUGGUCUAGCUGUUCUUCGCUGAUUGUUUUAUGUCUUUUGUUGUUGCCGGCUGCCUUUGAUGUCCUCUUCCGUUUAUUUGUUUUUUCAUCUGAGCUAUCCAAUACUGCGGUCGCCCAGUUGUUAAAAUGUUUAUGUUCACCAUAAAUAUUAAAAUUUACUUCUGUAAAAUCAAAAUAGUCUGUCAUUUUUUUUCCUCUUGAAGUUGAAGUGGAUUUGUCGCUGUCACUUCUUGUUAUGAAUUGUAUCCUAUUUUCCGUUAUUACAGUUGACUACGCGAAGUGAUAUGGAACUGUAAUGCGGUCAAGACCUGCCUGGAACUUCUUUAGCUGUGCGUUUCCCUGAAAAUAAUUGCACACCUUAGAACGUUCUCAACCAAUCAGAAUCAAGCAUUCAACAGCCCUGUAGUAUAAUGAGUAUCAAAUCAGUUCACUGACCGCGGGCUGUAACUCCGCGUCUGCUUCACUAUCAUAUGAUGUGAUAGUAAAAGAGAGUUGCACAUUUUGAACUGGAUUCAACUCGCUACUUGGCAUUUAAAGGCCUUGUUGGCUAUGGGCAGUCAGAUGGAGGAAUGUGGAACUGCUAUGGAGGCUUAAGGACAGAUGCCAGGAAAGACAACAUACCACAACCCAAUGGCCAUCUCCAAAAUUCUGCCUGCUAUACAGCAACAUUCUUACCUCCAUCUGAAGAACAAAGACUGUCGCAGUGAGGAUGCUUUAAUACAGAAGAGAGCUUGUGGGGAUCUUUCCUCCGUGUGGUAAAUGAAGAACAAGCACGUCAAACUGCGAAGAUACUGGCAUGUGUCUUCAGAUGGCACCGCUCUGACACAGAGUAACAAAAGAACCCCUACACAAUAAACAUGUAUUUUAUAUAAGUAAAAUGCAUAAACAAACAGAUAAAGGAAUGAUGUUUGUCUCCUCUGGUAUCAAUGACUAUAAGAAAACCAUCACCAUUAAGAACACUGGCUACAUAGUUUUUUGAUGGUUGCAAGAAAUGAGAUUAAUGGGAGGAAACCCAUUAGUUGAUAUGUGGAUUCAGCUACCUCGUUUAUUGAGUAUACAUACUGUCUUUUAUUUUUUCCGAUAUAUUUUCUUGUUUAAAACAAUUUGCUGUUUGAUAGUUGCCUCGCUGAUGUUUUGUCUGUAUGUUUAAUGUUUCUUGAUAAA